GCUUUAUCGCGGAAAAACUAUGACCCAUGACCUCUACAUGGCAGCUAGCUUUCGAUGAAUCAGCUCGAGCAAACGCUCAAAAUUUCCCCCUGCAAAUUAGGAUAACUAGACUGACGUCUGGAGUACGAAAUUCAUUUGGCUAAACACCAAGUACUGUCAUCUUAACCAUGAGUUCAAUUAAAGUAACACAUGGCUCAUCUCACAAGUAUGCAGUGCAGGGAAAGAGGACCAAAGAUGCAUUAUCAAGGGAGGAGCAAGAUCUGUUUGAGCUAUGCAGUCUAGCAGGGGUGGAUAUAAGCCCUGCUGUUUUUAGGAUUAUUUUGGAUCUACUCCGGAUGAAUGUGUCUCCUGUUGCAAUUGUCCAGAUGUUAAAAUCAAUGGUGCAAAGAAGUGCCAAGAGUUCAACCACUUCGACAUUUCAAACUGUAUCUAGUAUGCAGACACCAUCUUCAUAUGUCACUGAACCUUCAAAGAACAGCAGCACAGCCAUGACGUCUGGUGCCUUAAAGACAAAAGAGAAUCAGCAUAGCAGUAAGCUGGGCAUGAAAACAACAAGGUCCAGACCACCUGCAAAGUAUUCACACAAGACCUGAAGUGUUUAUACAAAUGUAUAUGCAUGUACAUGUACAGUAUUUAACACUAUUUAAAGUGUAACAACUUUAAAACUGUUUGAUGCAACUUGAGUGUAUCUAAGUGCACGCUACAGCCCUAAAUGGACACAAAGAAAUGGUUUUUUUGCAAGAAUAACUGCCUCAUACUUUCAUAGGAAGCAGUGGAAUAGCGUUUGAGUGGGUCGACAUUCCUCCCCAACAACGUUCCCCAACAUAAAGAAAAGCGGAAAGAAAAAUAGCCAUUUCAUCUCACUUUAAUGCAUUUUCACAGCUCAUAACAAAGUCUAAGUAGACCCAAAACGACACAAAACGUUAGUAAUUAGAUACUACAUGUAUUUCCCGUCAAAAUUAGACCCGCCUCAAAAUGGUGUACAUGUUUGUAUUUGUUAUGGCUCACUUCACUUUCAGUUUCAUGCUGGCCAUUAGUUUUUUGCCCAGACAUCAUUUAUUUGAAAAAGAAUUAGCUGUAAGCAACCUGCUUAUAGUAUACACGUGCAUGUACAUGCAUGUAUGUACAAGAAGUACUCGCAACGGAAUUCAUUCAUUCAUUUACAUGAACAAAGAAAGAUGGCAUGAACAAUUUGUUCAAUUACAUGUGUAUUUUGGCAUUCUUGCAGAAACCGACGUUAUUGUGUUGAGCUUAUUUACGUACAUUUUGCUUCAGUACUAGCACUGUAUGCACUUAAUGGUGAAGACAGAAUUCCAUGGUAAAUUACACCCAUAUUAUUUAGCAGAAAGUCCUCAAGUUUGUCAUUUGUGCCUGCCUUUGCUUUAUUCACUUCACUUUACACUUCAUAAAUAGUCCAAGUAAAAGGCCAAGUGUCUUCACAUUUCACCAAUAUUUUUUUUACAACAAAAUGUUUCCCAAAGCAAGGUCUAGCAGAUCACAGAAUAUGGACACUACGUGUUCAUUUUAUUUUUGUUUUGUUCAUUUGUAAAGAACAAAUGAGUGUUUUUGACAGGAAGACUGAUGUCAUCAACCAUAUUGCACAUGAGAAGCGGCAGUAGUCUAACAUAAUGAGGCACAUUACAUCUGUCUUCAUCAAUUUCUAUGGCUUGGGAUCCAGAAGUUGAGGUGUGGGUAAAAGUUAUUCAAACAUGAAAACAGUAUGAGGCGUGAAGAGUAGUUUAGACUGGGUGCCAACUUGCAUUCUCUGUGAUUUGAUUGCAUGUACAUGUAUGCAUUUAUAAACAGAUGUUUGCAAUACGAACAUUAGUCCGGUCAAUUUAGAACAAAACAGGGCCUGACCUAGAACAAAUUGCAAUAGAAUUUAUUUUAAUGUGACCAUGCUAAGGAAAUAUCACUAUUUAACAUACUGAAAAUCUAAUUUCAUCAAAGGAGUGGGAAAGUGUUUUCAUUCACUUUUUCGCUACUAAUUUUUCAUAAUACGUAAACAGCCGUAUGGAGAGCGUCAUGUUUUCUUUUGCGCCCGUUACUCGUCAGAAAAUCCGUUCACAUCACGUAUGAGACUUUGCGAGACACGACUGAUCACAGCAGACGACUUUUCUAUGUCCACCAAUUAUUAAAACACUGCCGCACAAUACUAAAGGAUAUUUUUUUGACAAAAUCAAGAAAUUUGAGAUUGUUGUGCUUCCCGAAAUAUUUUUAGGUUAAUAUAAAUCACUUUGUGCCCCCCCAAAAAACAUUUGUUUCAUAGAAAAUCUUUGCAUAAAGAGGUCUACUUGAAUAAAAGGCAGAAAAUGAUAUACACAAA